CGUAGGGGGCUAGCGUUGUCCGGAAUCAUUGGGCGUAAAGAGCGUGUAGGCGGUCCGGUAAGUCCGCUGUGAAAGUCGGGGGCUCAACCCUCGAAUGCCGGUGGAUACUGUCGGGCUAGGGUGCGGAAGAGGCGAGUGGAAUUCCUGGUGUAGCGGUGAAAUGCGCAGAUAUCAGGAGGAACACCUAUUGCGAAGGCAGCUCGCUGGGACGUUACUGACGCUGAGACGCGAAAGCGUGGGGAGCAAACAGGAUUAGAUACCCUGGUAGUCCACGCUGUAAACGAUGGGCACUAGGUGUGGGGGGUGUCGGACUCCCUCCGUGCCGAAGCUAACGCAUUAAGUGCCCCGCCUGGGGAGUACGGCCGCAAGGCUA
rnacentral:rRNA from 1 species